UGGGGAAUCUUGGACAAUGGGGGCAACCCUGAUCCAGCCAUGCCGCGUGAGUGAUGAAGGCCUUAGGGUCGUAAAGCUCUUUCGCCUGUGAAGAUAAUGACGGUAGCAGGUAAAGAAACCCCGGCUAACUCCGUGCCAGCAGCCGCGGUAAUACGGAGGGGGUUAGCGUUGUUCGGAAUUACUGGGCGUAAAGCGCACGUAGGCGGACCAGAAAGUUGGGGGUGAAAUCCCGGGGGCUCAACCCCGGAACUGCCUCCAAAACUAUUGGUCUAGAGUUCGAGAGAGGUGAGUGGAAUUCCAAGUGUAGAGGUGAAAUUCGUAGAUAUUUGGAGGAACACCAGUGGCGAAGGCGGCUCACUGGCUCGAUACUGACGCUGAGGUGCGAAAGUGUGGGGAGCAAACAGGAUUAGAUACCCUGGUAGUCCACGCCGUAAAACGAUGAGUGCUAGAUGUUGGGAUUUUCGGAUUUCAGUGUCGCAGCUAA
rnacentral:rRNA from 1 species